CUCAGAUUGAACGCUGGCGGCAGGCCUAACACAUGCAAGUCGAGCGGUAACAGAAAGUAGCUUGCUACUUUGCUGACGAGCGGCGGACGGGUGAGUAAUGCUUGGGAACAUGCCUUGAGGUGGGGGACAACAGUUGGAAACGACUGCUAAUACCGCAUAAUGUCUACGGACCAAAGGGGGCUUCGGCUCUCGCCUUUAGAUUGGCCCAAGUGGGAUUAGCUAGUUGGUGAGGUAAUGGCUCACCAAGGCGACGAUCCCUAGCUGGUUUGAGAGGAUGAUCAGCCACACUGGGACUGAGACACGGCCCAGACUCCUACGGGAGGCAGCAGUGGGGAAUAUUGCACAAUGGGCGCAAGCCUGAUGCAGCCAUGCCGCGUGUGUGAAGAAGGCCUUCGGGUUGUAAAGCACUUUCAGUCAGGAGGAAAGCGUGGUGGUUAAUACCCAUCAUGUGUGACGUUACUGACAGAAGAAGCACCGGCUAACUCCGUGCCAGCAGCCGCGGUAAUACGGAGGGUGCGAGCGUUAAUCGGAAUUACUGGGCGUAAAGCGUACGCAGGCGGUUUGUUAAGCGAGAUGUGAAAGCCCCGGGCUCAACCUGGGAACUGCAUUUCGAACUGGCAAACUAGAGUGUGAUAGAGGGUGGUAGAAUUUCAGGUGUAGCGGUGAAAUGCGUAGAGAUCUGAAGGAAUACCGAUGGCGAAGGCAGCCACCUGGGUCAACACUGACGCUCAUGUACGAAAGCGUGGGGAGCAAACGGGAUUAGAUACCCCGGUAGUCCACGCCGUAAACGAUGUCUACUAGAAGCUCGGAGCCUCGGUUCUGUUUUUCAAAGCUAACGCAUUAAGUAGACCG
rnacentral:rRNA from 1 species